rnacentral:rRNA from 1 species
UACGGGGGGGGCAAGCGUUGUUCGGAAUUACUGGGCGUAAAGGGCUCGUAGGCGGCCAACUAAGUCGGAUGUGAAAUCCCCAGGCUUAACCUGGGAACUGCAUCCGAUACUGGAUGGCUUGAAUUCGGGAGAGGGAUGCAGAAUUCCAGGUGUAGCGGUGAAAUGCGCAGAUAUCAGGAGGAACACCGGUGGCGAAGGCGGGUCUCUGGGCCGAAACUGACGCUGAGGAGCGAAAGCGUGGGGAGCGAACAGG